rnacentral:tRNA from 1 species
CGGUAGUUCAGUUGGUUAGAACGCUAGCCUGUCACGCUAGAGGUCGUGAGUUCGAGCCUCAUCCUCCUGU